UGAGAGAGCCGCGCGGAGCCGGGGGAGGGGCGGCCAGGUGCCCGGGGCGCGCGCCCGGGGGCGCGGGGGGCGGAGCCCGGCCUGGGGUGCGGGUCCCGGCUCCCUCAGUGACUGCCCCCGGGCUCGCGCGUGAGGGGAGCCGGGCAGACGCCCGCCCCCUCACAAAGCCUGAGGAAGCGGCGGGGACGGGGUGAGGGGCCGGAAAGGGCGUGAGGGGUGGAGGGGCCCCCGGGUACUGCCGCCUUCCCGGGAGCGGCGAGGGCACGGGGGCCAAGCCGGCUCUCAGGUCUUUGCGUCUGGGCUUCCUCUGGGUGCACAACCCGAGGGAGCGAGCUGAGAGGUGGUCCCCGGGAGGCGGCUGUCCCUCCUCGGGGGCCCGCGCAGGAGGGCAGAGGCCGGAGGGAAGGGGCUGAGCGAACAGGCCGAGUCUGACACGUCGAAGGAGAAGGAGCUCUCUUCUCUCCGACCCCCGGCCCUCCGCACCUUGAGGAGUCGCACUCUGUUGCCAUUCCAGGCUUGUGUGGGAGAAGACUGCUGUGCGCCUGUGUCUGUCCGCCCGGGCGACUCCAGCCUUCGGUUAAUGAAAGGGGAUCUUCCUGACCCAGGGAUCAAGCCUGCAUCUCCUGCAUUGUCAGGGGGUUUCUUUACCACUGAGCCACUAGGGAAGACCUUAGAGGAAAGUAGACUGCAACAUUAAAUAAAAUUUGAGUGACAGAAAUAUGAAUCCUUUCUUCUAUUUUUCUGUAUUGUGCAUAUUUUAUUUGAUGAGGAUUGUUUGAGUAGUUUACAGAUAUAUUGGCGCUUCAUGAUUUCAUUACUUCAUUGGAGUAAAAAAGGCAUGAGAUGUAGAAAAUGGCAACAGAAAGUGUGACUGCAUCAAUAAGCACAUUAAAUGCGAUUGGACUGAACACACUACUGAAAAGGCAGAUUUUAUCAGGGUAAAUAAAAAAGCAAGAUCUGACUCCAUGUCAAAGGUCAGCAA